UACGUAGGUGGCAAGCGUUGUCCGGAAUUACUGGGUGUAAAGGGAGCGUAGGCGGGGCCGCAAGCCUCAUGUGAAAUCGACCGGCUCAACCGGUCGCUGCGUGAGGAACUGCGGUUCUUGAGUGGAGUAGAGGCAGGCGGAAUUCCUAGUGUAGCGGUGAAAUGCGUAGAUAUUAGGAGGAACACCAGUGGCGAAGGCGGCCUGCUGGGCUCUAACUGACGCUGAGGCUCGAAAGCGUGGGUAGCAAACAGG
rnacentral:rRNA from 1 species